GGUACUUUCUUUCCUUUUCGCGGCAGGAUGUGGUAUGCUGUUUAUUGAAGAGGAUGGCGGGAUUAUGGCGCUAAAAGCUAUGUUGGUGUUGCCAUUAUGCAUGAUGAUGGAAAUGUUGCAAGAAAUGUACACUAUGGAUUUAAAAACGACAUCCCUAGCUUAGCAGAUGGAAUGAAGGCACUUCUUAGGAUGGAGCAGGAAGAAUACCUAAGAUCAGUUAGCAGAUGCAAUCGAGGCAGCUGCGAGGAUGGAGUUGGCCCACUCUGCCCAGUUUUUGCUUCCUCACCUACAUUAAGUAGGAAGAAUACCUAG
rnacentral:lncRNA from 1 species